UCACAGUAAGCUAAAUUCUGAAUCUUCACUGGACUUCAUGUAGUCAGAGAAGGAUGGUGUCAAAUUCAAAGGUGAAAAGGUGAUACAUGCUCACCAGAUAAAGGCUUGAAAUUCAAAGAAACUAAAAGAUGGUUCCAUCUGAAGGCAUGAGGACAGGGAUUCAUGGUACUGGGGAUGUGUGACAGAGGACAGACAGCUGUUCACAUCCUGGUAUGCCAGGAAGUGAAGCAUGACAGAAGCUAGAAGAGCUUCAACAGCUAUCCCACGUGACCUGCUUCCCUCAUUGAGAAUAAAAUCCAGCCAUUCCCGUGGUGUUCAAAGACUGAAUGCUUUGCUCUGAAGAUCAAGACAGGAUGAUGACAUCCAUCCUCACAACUCUGACUCUGCAGUCCAGAAGCUGAGCAGGGUCUGACACAGGCAGAACCAUGGGCCAUAGCAGACCUGAUAGCAGGAUUAUUCAAGAGAAACAAAAGCUGUGUUACUGAGGAGGGGAUUCCUUGGUCAUCCUAAAGGCAGCAUCCCCGAUAAAGUUGUCUCCUGCAUCCAACUUGCAUUCAUCUGACUAAAGCACACAGCCGCUGGAGUUCCUGUCCCUGCAGAAACAAGAAAGUCUUUUUUUGCUUGA